rnacentral:rRNA from 1 species
UCGCAAGGGUGACUUAUUUUGGUUGUUAUGAAGACUUGCUAAUUAUUAUGAUUAGGAAAAAUAUUUUUAGGUUUAAGUAGGUAACUAAGGAAAUAAUAGUUUGGCGAUAGAUAAUAGUACUGUACAGGAAAGUUGAAAUAUUCUAGUGAAAUAGAUGGGAAGUAUUAGUUAAAUUAAGUACCUUGUGUAUUAGGGAUAUUUUACAUUAAAUAUUUAUAAUAUCUUCCCGAAAUAAGAAGAGCUAAAUUAAAGGUCGAGUUUUUGUGGUAAAAAAAUUCAAAACCUUAUUUUAGUAGUGAAAUGUUAAUCGAGUCUUAAGAUAUCUGGUUUUUUUUUGAAAAAAAUUCAAUUUUUUCUUUGCAUUAAGGUAAGGCAAGGCUUAGGAACAGAGGGGGCUAGCUCUUUGUUUAAUUAUUUUAGUUAUAAAAAUAAAUAGAAAGGUAUGUUUAACUAGGCUUAGGGGUAGCUAUGUUUACAGGGAGUUAUAUCUGAAAUACAAGGAGAGAAGUAUUUAUUAUUUUUUAAGUAGGUAGGAAAGACUUUUUAUGAAUUUAGUUUAAAGAUUUAAAGUGAGUAUAUUAGUAUAUAAUUUGUUUGUUUUAAAUAAAUUUUGGAGAAUUAAUGAGAUUUAUUGAAGGGGUGAUGAGUGUAAGGAAUUCGGCAAAUAGGGCUCUUCCGCCUGUUUAUCAAAAACAUGUCUGUAUGAGAGUUAUAUAAAGUCUGACCUGCCCAUUGGGGACUAAAAGGCCGCGGUAUUUUGACCGUGCGAAGGUAGCAUAAUCAUUAGUCUUUUAAUUGGAGGCUGGAAUGAAUGGUUGGACGAGAAGGAAGCUGUCUCUAUCUCGGAGAUUGAAUUUAACUUUUAAGUGAAAAGGCUUAAAUAAGUUAGAGGGACGAUAAGACCCUAUAAAGUUUAUACAUGAAGUUGGUUAAGAGUGAUUUAAGGUGUUAAAGUUUAUUAUCAGCAGGGUGUUUAGUUGGGGCGACUAGGAUAUAAAUUAUAUAACUGUUUUUUGUUUAAAUCAGAGAUAUUUGUUCAUAUGAUCCCUUUUUAGGAUUAGAGAAUAAAUUACUUUAGGGAUAACAGCGUAAUUUUUUUUAAGAGUUCUUAUCGACAAGAGAGUUUGCGACCUCGAUGUUGAAUUAAAAAUUUCUCUGUGGUGUAGCGGUUACAGGAGAAGGUCUGUUCGACCUUUAAAUUUUUACAUGAUUUGAGUUCAGACCGGCGAAAGCCAGGUUGGUUUCUAUCUUCUAAGGAGUCAGAGGUUAUUUUAGUACGAAAGGAUUAAGUAAUUGAAAUAGUUUUAAUAAAAAAUCAGAAAAAAGCAGGGACUUUUCUUUAAUCUCCAAAAUUAAUAUUUUAAGUAAACUA